GAGAAAGAUGUAUUCACAAGUUACAACGUUAAGUCCUCCAUAAAGGGAAAACGUAUUGACGUACCAGCCUACCAAGAGAGAGAAAAAGAACCAAGAAAAGAAAAAUCUUAUAUUUCAAGCUAACAGAUCCGUCAAAUGCCAAUCAGAAGCAUUUUUCACUUCAGUUCAUUUCCCAAGAACAAGUUCAUGAACUGAAUCAUUUCAUCAGUCAUCUUAUCAGACAUAGGAUCUCACCUGUAAAUUAGAAGGGAUGAAUUUGAAUGUCACGAAAUCACAUGGAGGCCAGUGCAUAAUACCACUAAUUAUGGUAGGGACAGGAUGACGCUUCAAUUGAGCAAGAAUCUCAGAACUGCUUUUGCCCGAGCAUGGCAACAAACUAAGUCAUAUACUACAAACUCAGAGCAAAUUCAGCUCAUAAUACAAAGAAAUCAUCUAUUCCUCAAACAGUGAAACUGUGUCCAAGAUCUUUUUCUAUCUUCCGAGUUUUAUCAGUAACAUAUUGUUCCAUGGAGCUAAGGUCUAAAAUGUGGAAGAAAGAAUGUGCUGAAAAGUGAACCCACUACUUCAGACAAACAGAAGAAUUCAUAUUGAAUUCUCGUUUUAUAUUUUGGAAGAUGUGCAAGUAUAACUGCAUAUAUUGUUGUUGGGUUCCUAAGCUGAAAUUUUGUAAACAUAAGCUUCUCAUUUAU
rnacentral:lncRNA from 1 species